rnacentral:rRNA from 1 species
GACGAACGCUGGCGGCGUGCCUAAUACAUGCAAGUUGAGCGCUGAAGGUUGGUACUUGUACCAACUGGAUGAGCAGCGAACGGGUGAGUAACGCGUGGGGAAUCUGCCUUUGAGCGGGGGACAACAUUUGGAAACGAAUGCUAAUACCGCAUAAAAACUUUAAACACAAGUUUUAAGUUUGAAAGAUGCAAUUGCAUCACUCAAAGAUGAUCCCGCGUUGUAUUAGCUAGUUGGUGGGGUAAAGGCUCACCAAGGCGAUGAUACAUAGCCGACCUGAGAGGGUGAUCGGCCACAUUGGGACUGAGACACGGCCCAAACUCCUACGGGAGGCAGCAGUAGGGAAUCUUCGGCAAUGGACGAAAGUCUGACCGAGCAACGCCGCGUGAGGGAAGAAGGGUUUCGGAUCGUAAAACUCUGUUGGUAGAGAAGAACGUUGGUGAGAGUGGAAAGCUCAUCAAGUGACGGUAACUACCCAGAAAGGGACGGCUAACUACGUG